ensembl:lncRNA
GGCCCCAAGCACCAGGCACCAAACACCAAGCACCAAACACCAGGCACCAAACACCAGGCACCAAACACCAGGCACCAAGCACCAGGCACCAAGCACCAAACACCAGGCACCAAACACCAGGCACCAAGCACCAGGCACCAAACACCAAGCACCAAACACCAGGCACCAAACACCAGGCACCAAACACCAGGCACCAAGCACCAGGCACCAAGCACCAGGCACCAAGCACCAGGCACCAAGCACCAAGCACCAGGCACCAAACACCAAGCACCAAACACCAGGCACCAAACACCAGGCACCAAACACCAGGGUCGGAGCUGGCAGAAAAACUUCAUCAUCUUUCACUCCAAGUCAAAAUAAACCACCACUGCGACAAGAUGAAAAUCAAUCAGUGCUUCAGUUUUGAUAGGAAAUGGUCAUAAACUUAACAGCUCAACUGCUUCUUUUUUAUUCUACCUCUAAGUGGCAGCAGAGGCCUUCAUUUACCAGGUCAUCUCUGAGGAGAAACUGUCAAGCGGGACCAUCUCUUUUCCCCAACCAGGAAACCAGCAGUAAGGAACAAAAGGACCAAAGUUCAAAAGACAAGCCAACUAAAAAUGAUGCCCGUAUUAUCUGCUGACAUCAUUUUUUGUCUUUGUUAAAAUACUGUUUAUAAUAGUCUUUUUUUGUUGAUCAGCUGAUUCGUUUUCACUUCAGAGAAUUAAGUUUUACGGAAGGAAAGGAAUGUAAAGUAAAGUAAAGUUUUAAAGCAAAAAAAAAUAAAUCGUCCUUCCCUUUAACAUACAUACACACACACACACACACACACACAC